rnacentral:misc_RNA from 1 species
GAAAUGCGAUAAGUAGUGUGAAUUGCAGAAUUCAGUGAAUCAUCGAAUCUUUGAACGCACAUUGCGCCCUUUGGUAUUCCUUAGGGCAUGCCUGUUCGAGCGUCAUCUAAACCUUCAAGCCCUGCUUGGUGUUGGGUGCCUGUCCCGCCUCCGCGCGCGGACUCACCUCAAAUCCAUUGGCGGCCCCCGCGUCGGCCACGAGCGCAGCAGAAACGCGAACUCGUGAGCCCGUCCGGGCGGCUCCCAGAAGCUACACCCACCCAGUUUGACCUCGGAUCAGGUAGGGAUACCCGCUGAAAUUAAGC